CCUACGGGAGACAGCAGUAGGGAAUUUUCGGCAAUGGGGGGAACCCUGACCGAGCAACGCCGCGUGAAGGAAGAAGGAAUUCGUUCUGUAAACUUCUGUUAUCAAGGAAGAAAGACGGAUGGAGGAAAUGACAUCCGAGUGACGGUACUUUAUGAGACAGCCCCGGCUAACUCCGUGCCAGCAGCCGCGUUAAUACGUAGGUGGCAAGCGUUAUCCGGAAUUAUUGGGCGUAAGGAGGGAGCAGGCGGCAGCAAAGGUCUGUGGUGAAAGACUGAAGCGAAACUUCAGUAAGCCAUAGAAACCGGGCGGCUAGAGUGCAGGAGAGGAUAGUGGAAUGCCAUGGGUAGCGGUGAAAUGCGUAGAUAUAUGGAGGAACACCAGUGGCGAAGGCGACGAACUGGCCUGCAACUGACGCUGAGGCCCGAAAGCGUGGGGAGCAAAUAGGAUUAGAUACCCCAGUAGUC
rnacentral:rRNA from 1 species